AUUGAACGCUGGCGGCAGGCCUAACACAUGCAAGUCGAGCGGAUGAAGGGAGCUUGCUCCUGGAUUCAGCGGCGGACGGGUGAGUAAUGCCUAGGAAUCUGCCUGGUAGUGGGGGACAACGUUUCGAAAGGAACGCUAAUACCGCAUACGUCCUACGGGAGAAAGCAGGGGACCUUCGGGCCUUGCGCUAUCAGAUGAGCCUAGGUCGGAUUAGCUAGUUGGUGAGGUAAUGGCUCACCAAGGCGACGAUCCGUAACUGGUCUGAGAGGAUGAUCAGUCACACUGGAACUGAGACACGGUGCAGACGCCUACGGGAGGCAGCAGUGGGGAAUAUUUGACGAUGGGCGAAAGCCGGAUCCAGCCAUGCCGCGUGUGUGAAGAAGGUCUUCGGAUUGUAAAGCACUUUAAGUUGGGAGGAAGGGUUGUAGAUUAAUACUCUGCAAUUUUGACGUUACGGACAGAAUAAGCACCGGCUAACUCUGUGCCAGCCGCCGCGGUAA
rnacentral:rRNA from 1 species